rnacentral:rRNA from 1 species
GGGUCAGUAGGUUGGUCGUGCCACCGGUACGUACUGGUCUCACUGAUUCCUCCUUCCUGAAGAACCGUAAUGCCAUUAAUUUGGUGUUGCGGGGAAACAGGACUGUUACUUUGAAAAAAUUUGAGUGUAUACAGCAAGCUAACGCUUGAAUACAUUAGCAUGGAAUAAUGAAAUAGGACGAUCGAUCCUAUUUUGUUGGUCUCUAGGAUUGACGUA